GGGUUUGUCAAGUUGUAUUUAAAAAGGUUUGUGUCUGUGCUCUCUUCACAAAUUCCUCUCUGCCUCCAUCUCAACAUCUCUACUUCAGAAAGUUUUCAUACAAUCUUGCCAACAUGGCCCACCUCAGAGAGGCAUUGGAAUUGCUCACAGACACAUUCAAAGAAUACGCUGGAAGGGGUGGAGACAAAAACACUAUGUCCAAAGCAGAAAUUCGUGUCAUGCUCCGAAAGGAGUUUCCCAAUGCAAACAUGGACACAGCUGAAAUGAAGCAUUUCUUCAAUAAGAUGGAUGCCGAUGGUGAUGGUGUUGUUUCUUUCAAAGAGUUUGUCCUUAUUGUAAAAGACUUCAAACUGAUUUACACUUAAGAAUAAAUGAUUUGGCCACAUUGCAUCAGUGGCGGAUGAUGUUGGUGUAAACUGGCAAAUAAAUAACAGUGCCAGAU